rnacentral:rRNA from 1 species
UACGUAGGUGGCGAGCGUUUGUCCGGAUUUACUGGGCGUAAAGAGCGCGCAGGCGGCUGGUCAAGUCCGAUGUGAAAGCUCCCGGCUUAACUGGGAAAUUGCAUCGGAAACUGAUCGGCUGGAAGGUGGGAGAGGGUAGCGGAAUUCCCGGUGUAGUGGUGAAAUGCGUAGAUAUCGGGAGGAACACCAGUGGCGAAAGCGGCUACCUGGCCCAUUCUUGACGCUGAGGCGCGAAAAGCUAGGGGAGCCAAACG